CUACGGGGGGCUCCAGUGGGGAAUUUUGGACAAUGGGGGCAACCCUGAUCCAGCCAUGCCGCGUGAGUGAAGAAGGCCUUCGGGUUGUAAAGCUCUUUCAGCCGGGAAGAAAUCGCAUGGGUUAAUACCCUGUGCGGAUGACGGUACCGGAAUAAGAAGCACCGGCUAACUACGUGCCAGCAGCCGCGGUAAUACGUAGGGUGCGAGCGUUAAUCGGAAUUACUGGGCGUAAAGCGUGCGCAGGCGGAUGCUUAGGCCAGAUGUGAAAUCCCCGGGCUUAACCUGGGAAUUGCAUUUGAAACUGGGUGUCUAGAGUGCGUCAGAGGGGGGUGGAAUUCCACGUGUAGCAGUGAAAUGCGUAGAUAUGUGGAGGAACACCAAUGGCGAAGGCAGCCCCCUGGGAUGACACUGACGCUCAUGCACGAAAGCGUGGGGAGCAAACAGGAUUAGAUACCCUGGUAGUC
rnacentral:rRNA from 1 species